UACAGAGGGGGCAAGCGUUGUUCGGAUUUACUGGGCGUAAAGGGCGCGUAGGCGGCCGCCUAAGUCAGACGUGAAAUCCCUCGGCUCAACCGGGGAACUGCGUCUGAUACUGGGUGGCUUGAAUCCGGGAGAGGGAUGCGGAAUUCCAGGUGUAGCGGUGAAAUGCGUAGAUAUCUGGAGGAACACCGGUGGCGAAGGCGGCAUCCUGGACCGGCAUUGACGCUGAGGCGCGAAAGCCAGGGGAGCAAACGGG
rnacentral:rRNA from 1 species